rnacentral:rRNA from 1 species
UACGUAGGGGGCAAGCGUUGUCCGGAAUCAUUGGGCGUAAAGGGCGCGUAGGCGGUCACGCACGUCCGUUGUGAAAUCGCUCGGCUCAACUGGGCGGGGUCAGCGGAUACGGCGUGGCUGGAGCAAGCUAGGGGGCAAUGGAAUUCCCGGUGUAGUGGUGGAAUGCGUAGAUAUCGGGAGGAACACCAGUGGCGAAGGCGGUUGCCUGGAGCUUUGCUGACGCUGAUGCGCGAAAGCGUGGGGAGCGAUCCGG